UGGGCGCUGCGGGCGGCCGUGCCUGCGGACCGUCAAUGUAAACAAGCUGUCUCGCGGCCCACCAGCAGAUUACCCUGAUGGGCCACGUGCGGCCUGUGGGCCACGGGUUGCCCACCACUGCCCUAGAGGCAGUGCUAUCUUGUCUGGGUAAGCUCCACAGGGCUGGAAAGUGAAGAGAGGCAAUAGAACAUCCCCGGUCCCACAGACUCUUCUCCCUACCCAAAAUGGCCCCCUUUCUAGCACAGAUCUCCAGACCUGCGGAGCGUUCUCUGCAGGGUCUGGUGAAGAGGAGAACAGGGCCAUAGAGGUGACUGAGCCUCAAUUCUGCAUGGGAGGAGAGUGGAGAUCCACAAGCAGAGGGUCCCCUUUGAGCGUGGAUUUAGAAGGCAGAGUCUUAGUCCUUAUCCUCCUUUUACACCGCACGAGCUGCUGGCUUACAGAAGGAAUCUGUGUCAGCACUGGGAUCAUAAUUUCACUUUUGGUUCCCACUCCUAUAUUGAGAUCACUAGACCAGGUGUUCCCAAACUGUUUCAGGAGAUGAACAUUUUAAUAGAGAGAUUGCCUUCUGCACAAUAGCUCCUCCCAAGCGCAAUCCCAUCGACCACUUCCUUUCUCAUUCAAAACAUGCACCAACCUGCGGCAACUACAGCAAAUGCUUACACGAGAAAGAAAUAUCAAGACACGUUGAUGUAUAUUUUUAAUACAAAAGGUGGACAUCUAUAGAAGCAGCUGAAACCAAGGAGAGUCAGCCCUCUGUAGGAUACCAUCAAGUGCUUUGUGUACCCAACCAGCACCACAGACCACACAGAUCAUGCUCAUCUAAUGAGAGAUGAUGUAUUAUGUCAGGGAAUCUAGAAGAAUUUUCAGUACAGAGGAUCAAAACCACUCCUCGCUUGUUAAAUGGAAGAAUAAAAACACAUCCUCAAUCCCAAGAAGGAAAAUAGGAGACUGAAUAGUUCAGUGAAACAUGCCCUGCAAGAUACCAACAAGAAUCCAUCUACACUGUCUUCAUUUUUACACGGCAACAGUUAAAAGGAACAAUUUGAAUGAGAUCUGCUCCAGCCAAGACCAUACUUGCCACCAAAAAUGAAAAGUAAUAUUUUCCUUUGACUGACCUGCAGAACGGAAUCAUGGCCUUAAAACUGUCAGUUCUUUUCUGUCUCACAAUGAUUUCAAUUUUUUCCCUUUAAUCAACAGACAUACUUCCGCCUCAUUAUGGCCCCUACUCAGAAAACCGUAAAGCCAGCUUGUUAUUUCCAGAGCUGCACUGGAAAAUACUAUCUACCAAAGACAUGCUCUUCAGAAACCAAGAGAGCUGGAAAGAACAAUCACAGAGACUUCAUAAAUUAUUAUAAGUAGCAUUGCUCUUAAAUGAGGUAGUGUUUUCAAAUGAAAGUGACAAGUUUGGAUUACUUAUGCAACCAAUAUUAAAUCUGUCAAGAAAGUGAA